AGAAAAUUCAUGAGAGUGGAGAACUGGUGAUGAUGGGGACAAAUCCUGAAAAGCCCCACUAUGUGCUUGGAGUAAUUUCACCUGACGGUGAGAGGCUUGUUCAUAAGGCUGAUCUCAAAUUUGAGGAAGGGAAACUCAUUCAUGACAUUGGAGUAACUAAAAGGUACAAUAUUAUAAUGGACUAUCCUCUCAGAUUCGGCAUAUCCAGGACAUUCUUACGAAAGCC